AUGAUUCCCCAUGUGGAACUGCUGCACUAGGAGCAGUAGUGGCUUCAUUAGUUCUAUGAGAUGGCUGCACUGUAAGAAGAAUUCGCAUCUGGCUUAAGACAGCUGCUGGGUUCUAAGAAGCUGCUUAUAAAGUUAAGCUCCAGAUAAAAAUCUUCUGUGAAUAACUUCAGAGAAUUGCACGUCAACCUGGUCUGCAACACGAAUGUUGUUCCAAUUCACACUUUCUCUAACGCUCGAAACAGUUCCGGCAGCAGCAGCACCUUGAGUAGGACAUCAGGAGGAAGUCAGAGACGUAUGAAGUGCAUUAAUUAGAUGUGAUGCUUAGAAGGGAUCUGUGUGCUUUUCUACAGGACUCUGUGUGACACAACUGUCCUGAGGUGGACUUCUGCCCUCCUGUAUGGGAAGAAACAGUGAGACUGCCUCGAGGCAACUUACAGCGCUGCUGUGAACGUGUGAAAUCCUUCUUCCACUGAAAAGUCAGCUUGCCACAGGAUCUAAUGGAGCCAAGACGUUAGAUUUAUUCAGAGGCCUCCAAAAUCCUGAUUAUGCUGUUCAAUGAGUAUCCAUAUAAAUUAAAUAACAUUAUUAGCCCAAGACAGACAGCGGCAUUGAAAAGCCUUUUUCUUUUCCCAGUUAAUCUUCAGGUAUUCAUCUGGGUCCACAGAUCUGCCUGAAAAGUGUAGCAAGACCAGGGCUCUUAUCUGGGGGACUAACAUCAGGAAAAUACAUUUUAGGAAAGAUUUGUGAUUGAACUGCUACAAAAAUUUGUUCUUACUCCUAUUAAUACCAAAUCACUCUCUGGAACUGUUCAACGACCUUAACUGCAUUAACAGUGACUUCCGUUUUUAUGCAAAUUGGAAAGAACAAAACCCUAACAACUGAGGAGGCAUAAAUCCACCUCCCCCACACUCUGGGUCUGCACCUAAUCAUUAUUAUUUACCAUAUGAAAAGGAUGGAAAGAAACCAGACUUAGGUUUCCUUUUAGGUGUAGAUUUUAUGAAGAAAUAUCAGCUCCUGGAAACUUUGUCAUAGAUGCCCACGAACUGAGGAACUCAAGAGACGCCUCGGUUUGAGUUAUGCUGAUUUUCUUGACCAAACUGAAAUAAAACAUUGCUCCCCAACCCUGCAGUAGAAACUAGCUCAAG